rnacentral:lncRNA from 1 species
ACGCGAGCGCGUGGCCUGCGCUCUGCGACGGCUGCUUAUAGCGCCAUCAACCAAUAGAUAAAGAUAGCACGUCCGCUUUUGGCAGCAUCGCCUUUUUCAAGAGCAGAGCGGGAGCGUAAUCUAGAAUCGCUAAUCCAACGGCCAUGAAUCGAUAUUUUGUUUGCCAAUAGAUGACGCCAAAAGCGGACAUGCUUUUUUCAGCUGUCGGUUGAUUGCUUUGUAGGCAGCGGCCGCAGAACGCAGGCCAUGCGCUGUCGUGUUCCCUUCCAUGAAGGACUACAGUGUACUACACCACCGCCUGGCUCGUCGUCUCCGACGAGCAGCAGUUUCGGCCCCUCUAGUUGACAAGCCGGCAGCGAAGAUUGUUCUGACAGCCCGGAUACGCCAGCCGCUGACGAAGAAUGUGCACCAAGCCAUGCCGCCGCUGUUAGCAGCAUGACAGCCAUGCCAUCACGAGAGGUCCCGGCCACACCAGUCUCCAACCCCUUCUUCGUCCUCAGCGCUAAAAACAUGGCUGGGAAUAGCUUCUCUGAGACACGGAGUCGU